AUUUAAGUAAUUUAAAAAAAAAUAUUGAUUUGUGGUGUCAAAAAUGUAGAUUUACCUUAAAUU
rnacentral:tRNA from 1 species